rnacentral:lncRNA from 1 species
CUCUGCCUUCUGUGACCUCAAUCUUCCUGGGACUCUUAGUCUUGGUUGGUCAUGGGGCAGGGGUGUCAGAGUUUUCCCAAUCUAGUUUCUAGAUUUCACAGACUCCAGAGGGCUGUUUCCUGGGAUCAAGGACACUUUGUUUUUUGUGUCCUGACUGUGGCUGUCAUGGUUAGAAUGCAUUCAUUAUGAAUCGAGCUGACAUUCUUUCAGGAAACAACUGGUCAUUAGAACAGAAUCUUCUCUCAUUACCAGCAUUUGGAAAGUUGAGUUUCAUUUUGUCGGUCAUUCAAUGUGCAUCUUUCCAAUAAUGUGGUAUGUCCAGCAUUCCAGCAUGAACCACAUAUUUCCCCAAGCUGACCAUACAGCUUUCUUCUGGAACUUUCACAGGAAACACCCUGAGAUGUAGCCUGCAGAGCUGAAGGCGACAGAUGAACCUCAGCCCCUCUGCAUUCAUUGCGCAACUAUGAGGGGACAAGCACUUUGCCCUCAGUUGUCGUCAGCCCACACUAUUCCUGUCUGGCACAGCCUCCCUUCCCAUUGGCCAAACUCUCACCAUUCCUUUUCAAGCUCCGCCUAAGUGUCUCACCCCUACACCCUUUCCCUUAAUCAGGCUGAAGUUGGAAUGUGUUCACCCAAUUUUAUUACAACUAAAUAUAUUCAGCUUAGCCUAAGCUUUAGCAGAUUUUAAUAGUUAUUAAUGGAAUAUUCAUCUAUUUCCCUAUACGCACUGUAAUCAACAUUCCCAUUCUCAAAUGCACUACUUAAAGUAUCUAAGAUCAGACACUUUAAGUAAUUUAAAUUUAUGACAAAGUUUUCUGAAGAUAUAAGCAGAUCCUGUUAGAUACAGAUGCACAUACAAUUCUUAUGAACAAUUUCAUGCACUGUAGCAUGAUCAAAAUAUCUGACCAGAGCCUGUCACUGCACCUUGUAGACAUUCUUACAAACAGCUCUUAUCUAAUCCUCAUAACCCAUCACCUGUCACCCAUAAGGGACAAUUAAACCAUGGAUCCAUAUGAUUACUGAAGGCUUGUUUCUUCAUUGGCUGCAGGAAUCUCAUGAAAAUCAUGUCUUCAUAUAUAGCAAAACUUUGGGCUUAUGCAUCCUUCUAGGAAGAAUAAGCAGUUAAUGGGCAUGAAAGGCCUUUGAACCCUAUGUAGCCCUGCACGUGUGCAAGCUGCUCUUUUAAGUGGACAGCAAAAGACAGUGGCAGACGUCAGGCUGGGCUCCAGAUCCAGCUCUACCUUAAUAGUCAGGUGAUCUCUAUCAGGUCAUUUGUAUUCUCUGAACCUCAGGUUUCUUGUCUGCCAAUGGAAAUUAUAAUAAUGCCUGCCCUGCUGUGAAGUUCAGAUGAGCUCACGGAUGUGAACACCUUCUGAGGGUCACAGAGCGACACUUGAAUGCCAGCCAUCAUUUGUUCACGUAUAUUAACUCUUACUUUCUACAACACUAGGAGAUAGAUAUCAUCCCCUCCUUUCACAGAUGUGGAGACUCCAAUGAUUAGACCUUUGAGGAUCUGACCUUCCAACUCAAAUCUCCCAUCCAAUGCUCUUCCCCUCUGUGCUCAGGCACCAUCCUCGGCUCCCAUCCCUGCUCACAGCUGCAUCAUGUGUACACUGUGAGCAUCACAUUGUAUAGUCUUACCUUAAGUCUGGGGUCCAAUCAGUUGUCAAGAGCCACACACUGGGAAGAGGGAGAUCAAGGAAAACCAGCCAAGCUCCUCCCAAUAUGAGGAUGUUUGCCAAGUUCCAGGGAGCACCUGCUACCCCUAGCCCUGGGUGAAGUAAGCACUGGAGAGAACAGACAGGAUACAAUGGCAUUGCCCUGAGAAGGCUUUUCAUCUGGCUGAGGCAAGGACUUAGAGACACAGCACAUCUCAAUUCAGACCAGCCACACUCCAGUGCUCGACAGCCACCUGUGGCUCACGGCCUGUACUGGACAGUGCAGCUGGAACCCAAUGGAUGAUUUUUUAAGGUCCCACUUGUGUCCCUCACUCAUCUACAGGCUCCAUGAAGUCAGAUAUCAAACAUUUCCAUUGCUACAUUCUCCAGGCCUAAUCUGGAUCCUCCCGGAGUGGCUCUUCAGUGAACAUCUACUGAAUUGAACAGACAUGCACAGAGCAGAUGGACAGCACUAGGGACUUGUCCUCUGGCCCCAGAGGCCCAUGAAAGAGUAUCCAGGCAGGCUGGACUAUGCUGGGAAGGGGGAAGGCCUGGGCCCUCAUUGAAAGGGAAGGACCCCAAAAGGAAGAGAAACCCAUCAACAUCCUGUUAACUAAAUGGAGAGAAAUGCUGUUUAGGGGAAAAAAAAAAUGAUAAAUAAAAUUCCUGAGAGAAGCUGCUAAGUCAGGGAGCACCACACUCAUCCCCUUCUGCAAGAGAAUGAGAAGAUGGAGCUACAGCUCCCGUCCCACAUCUGCAUCUGGUGUGGCCUUCCCGCCACGGGCCAUGGGUCAGACCUGGCUCCACAGACAAAGGGGCUGCUUAGGCUGGGCUUGAAAUAGGCUGAGUGAAAACCUGCGAGCCCCUGGCUCCUUCCCUGUGCAUGGAAAGGAGCUGUUGGUGAGUAUGGAGAUCUCUGCCCUUGUCAGAGGAAGGCUUCCUCAUCACAAGGCAGGGCAGGUGUCUGUGCCCAAGAGCUGAGCAGAGAACAAGCAGCCAGUGGAGGCUUUCGCCUGAACUGUGCAAUCCUUACCUG